GGGGUUCUGANAGGAAGGUCCCCCACAUUGGCAACUGAGACACGGUNCCAAACUCCUACGGGNAGGCAGCAGUGAGGAAUAUUGGUCAAUGGGCGAGAGCCUGAACCAGCCAAGUAGCGUGAAGGAUGACUGCCCUAUGGGUUGUAAACUUCUUUUAUAAAGGAAUAAAGUCGGGUAUGUAUACCCGUUUGCAUGUACUUUAUGAAUAAGGAUCGGCUAACUCCGUGCCAGCAGCCGCGGUAAUACGGAGGAUCCGAGCGUUAUCCGGAUUUAUUGGGUUUAAAGGGAGCGUAGAUGGAUGUUUAAGUCAGUUGUGAAAGUUUGCGGCUCAACCGUAAAAUUGCAGUUGAUACUGGAUAUCUUGAGUGCAGUUGAGGCAGGCGGAAUUCGUGGUGUAGCGGUGAAAUGCUUAGAUAUCACGAAGAACUCCGAUUGCGAAGGCAGCCUGCUAAGCUGCAACUGACAUUGAGGCUCGAAAGUGUGGGUAUCAAACAGGAUUAGAUACCCUGGUAGUCCACACGGUAAACGAUGAAUACUCGCUGUUUGCGAUAUACAGCAAGCGGCCAAGCGAAAGCGUUAAGUAUUCCACCUGGGGAGUACGCCGGCAACGGUGAAACUCAAAGGAAUUGACGGGGGCCCGCACAAGCGGAGGAACAUGUGGUUUAAUUCGAUGAUACGCGAGGAACCUUACCCGGGCUUAAAUUGCAGAUGAAUUACGGUGAAAGCCGUAAGCCGCAAGGCAUCUGUGAAGGUGCUGCAUGGUUGUCGUCAGCUCGUGCCGUGAGGUGUCGGCUUAAGUGCCAUAACGAGCGCAACCCUUGUUGUCAGUUACUAACAGGUUCCGCUGAGGACUCUGACAAGACUGCCAUCNUAAGAUGUGAGGAAGGNGGGGAUGACNCCNAAUNANNNCGGNCCUUACNUNCGGGGCUACNCACNUGGNANAANGGG
rnacentral:rRNA from 1 species